AUUACUUUGGAGAGCCCCGCCCCCUGGCUCCGCAGGUCGGUAGGGGGCGGGGUCCUAGGGAGCCCCACCCAGCGACAGUGGGGAUUAAAUACUGCGCGUGCUCAGUUUUGUUCAGUGGCUGCAGGCUGCUAAGCGGCUUCGGGAGCUGGUUUGGUUAGAGGCUGUGGAGCAGGGAUAAAGUUGGCUAAUGCCGUGUGCUGUUGGCUUUCAACAAUUCCGGUAGCCUAGAUAGAGAAACUGAAGCACGGAGAGGUUAUGCAGCUUGCCCAGGUUCACGCAACUGGUAAGAACAGCAUCGGAGUCCAUGUUCUUAUCACUCAAGAUGUUCUGUUGGGGACAGCAUGCUGUGGUCUUGAGGUGAAGGAAACACCAACAGGUGAGUGGGAUAUGAGAGAAGAUGAAGGUAACUGGUAAAGAGUGUGUUACAAGCCAGCCUCCACCCUGGGCAGCUGGAGCUGAAGCCUACUCUGGAAAACGAUGUUCCACUCACCCCGCAGAGUCACCACGACCAACUCCUGUAAGUCAAUAGUUGAACACUGAUGGGCUGUUAAUACUUUCACACUUUUGGCCUGCCUGCACGGGUGGACAAAGUGUGCUUAGGUGGUCGAAGAAAGUGGAAGAUAAGCACCAUGAGCUGACAUGGUAAUGGUGAGGAGAUACUAGCAGGGCACCUACAGUGCAGCUGGAGUUGGUGACAUGAGAAUGGCGCCUAUUCUCAGCCCACUGAUUUGGAGACUUGCAUUUCGAGAAUGAAUUAAGUGACAGCUAUGACUUUCCUUUAACUAUAGUAGUAUCUAGAAAUGCUGAUUUCCAAUGUUAUUGGAAGAAAAAUAUAAUCGCUACUAAGUAGGACCACAUUCUACCUAUCUGUGCAGCAUUUUCUGGUUUAUAUCCUGAAUGCAUUAUCCCAUGAAUUGCCUUACUCAACCUUAUUUUACUUUUAUAAUAAUUUGACUGCUGACAAUUUGAAUUUCUUUCUUCUCUCUUGAAUGGUCAGAUAGGGGUUCGUAAGAGGUGAUUGAUUUCCUAGCGUCAGUUUACUCCACUCCCUUAACCCAGACAUUUCUUGAAAUUUUAGAGUAGUGAUCUUGAAAACUAUAAGUCAAGCAUUGCUUAUUUCUAAACACUUUCUGUUGUCCUUAUAAGGUUCUUAGCUGUGGGAGCAGGGUGUACAAAUAUACAGGGAUUCUGUCUCAUGUUGUAGUGGGAUGCUGUUUUUUUCUGCCAGCAUCUUUUCCUUGUGGAUCCGUUUUUCCUCAAAUUCAUUUGGCUGUGUGUGUGUGCAUAAUGGGUCUCAUAAGUAUCCCACUUCCAGGGUUGGCAUGUGACUGGGACUGGACCCAUCUUACUAUAGCAUUGACUGGACACACAGAGGUGGAAACAUGAUCCAGUCGUGGCCAGAGUAUACAGUGUGUGUAAGAGAGAGAAAGAGAGAGGAACUAUGGAUACUGGGGGACUGAAGCUCUCCUUCUUCCUUGUUUGUUCAUCCGGGAUAACAUAAAGCUGGGGAUGACUGUGGCCACUUUCGUGACUUCUCUAGGUGGAGAGGCAUAGAUAGCAUGCUGAGUGUAGCCAAGUGGAGAGAAAUAAUAGAGAUGAAAAGUCUGGAGGUUUAGACCCUGGAUCUGGCUUGAUUGAGCUUGACCUCAGGGCCUUCUGAACCAAUUUAUCUGUGAGCUAAUUCUUCUUCUUUUUCUACUUCUUUUUUUUUUUUUUUUUGCUUUAGCUCAUUUAAACUAGGGUUCUAGCACCUGCAAUAGAAAGGCUUUUGACUAAAACAUAGAGCUGGCAAGAAACUGAAGAUGGAAGAGAAAGUGUAUCAGAAAAAAGUUUUGAGAUACCUAGCUUAAUAAUGAAAAAUCUUAAACACAAUAAAAUGCAUUCAAUAUCAACUAAUGAGAUUUUUUAUGAAACUAGAGUAUGUAUAAAAUUACGACACAAUGGCCGGGCGCGGUGGCUCACGUCUGUGAUCUCAGCACUUUGAGAGGCCAAAAUGGGUGGAUCCCUUG